rnacentral:rRNA from 1 species
UACGAAGGGGGCUAGCGUUGUUCGGAAUUACUGGGCGUAAAGCGCGCGCAGGCGGCUAUCCAAGUCAGUGGUGAAAGCCCGGAGCUCAACUCCGGAACUGCCAUUGAAACUGUUUAGCUUGAGGACGAGAGAGGUGAGUGGAAUUCCCAGUGUAGAGGUGAAAUUCGUAGAUAUUGGGAAGAACACCGGUGGCGAAGGCGGCUCACUGGCUCGUAUCUGACGCUCAGGCGCGAAAGCGUGGGGAGCGAACAGG